GGCACAUGUUGGCUUUUUCAUGAGAUUCAUUAUCUGAGAUGGAGUCAUUACUAUUGCUCCAUAUAGCCAUCAUAGCCUUUUUCUUCUUGAACUUCUUCUGACCCUUCAUGAGCUGGGGACAAUCCGAUCUAAAGUGAUCCAACUUCUUACAUUCAUAACAAAUGAUGGAUUAUCCUUUCUCUUUUUCUUUACUCGGUUCUCUCUUGACUGGUGGUCUUCUCUUAAUCCCUUG
rnacentral:lncRNA from 1 species